GUGUUCACUUCACAGCACAUAUAUGAAACUUGAAGCACUUCAAAGAUCAACAUGGUCUCCGCGUAAGGAUAGCCGGCACACAGUCAUGAGAGGUCUACAGUUUUC
rnacentral:snRNA from 1 species